rnacentral:rRNA from 1 species
AGAGUUUGAUCAUGGCUCAGAUUGAACGCUGGCGGCAGGCUUAACACAUGCAAGUCGAGCGGGGAAGAGUAGCUUGCUACUUAACUUAGCGGCGGACGGGUGAGUAAUACUUAGGAAUCUACCUAAUAGUGGGGGACAACAUCUCGAAAGGGAUGCUAAUACCGCAUACGCCCUACGGGGGAAAGCAGGGGACUCUUCGGAGCCUUGCGCUAAUAGAUGAGCCUAAGUCGGAUUAGCUAGUUGGUGGGGUAAAGGCCUACCAAGGCGACGAUCUGUAGCGGGUCUGAGAGGAUGAUCCGCCACACUGGGACUGAGACACGGCCCAGACUCCUACGGGAGGCAGCAGUGGGGAAUAUUGGACAAUGGGGGGAACCCUGAUCCAGCCAUGCCGCGUGUGUGAAGAAGGCCUUUUGGUUGUAAAGCACUUUAAGCGAGGAGGAGGCUCCCAGUAUUAAUACUACUGGAGAGUGGACGUUACUCGCAGAAUAAGCACCGGCUAACUCUGUGCCAGCAGCCGCGGUAAUACAGAGGGUGCAAGCGUUAAUCGGAUUUACUGGGCGUAAAGCGUGCGUAGGUGGCCAAUUAAGUCAAAUGUGAAAUCCCCGAGCUUAACUUGGGAAUUGCAUUCGAUACUGGUUGGCUAGAGUAUGGGAGAGGAUGGUAGAAUUCCAGGUGUAGCGGUGAAAUGCGUAGAGAUCUGGAGGAAUACCGAUGGCGAAAGCAGCCAUCUGGCCUAAUACUGACACUGAGGUACGAAAGCAUGGGGGGCAAACAGGAUUAGAUACCCUGGUAGUCCAUGCCGUAAACGAUGUCUACUAGCCGUUGGGGUCUUUGAGACUUUAGUGGCGCAGCUAACGCGAUAAGUAGACCGCCUGGGGAGUACGUCGCAAGACUAAACUCAAUGAUUGACGGGGCCCGCACAGCGUGAGCAUGUGUCUAUUCGAUGCACGCGAGACUUAC